UGGGUCCUGUGCAAUAAGAGUUUGUGAACCGUGUCAGGUCUGGAGAGAAGCAGCACUAAGCAGAUUAUCUUAUGUGCCACAGCUAAGCCUGU
rnacentral:SRP_RNA from 1 species